rnacentral:rRNA from 1 species
AGAACGAACGCUGGCGGCAUGCCUAACACAUGCAAGUCGAACGAGACCUUCGGGUCUAGUGGCGCACGGGUGCGUAACGCGUGGGAAUCUGCCCAAAGGUUCGGAAUAACUCAGGGAAACUUGAGCUAAUACCGGAUGAUGUCGCAAGACCAAAGAUUUAUCGCCUUUGGAUGAGCCCGCGUAGGAUUAGCUUGUUGGUGAGGUAAAGGCUCACCAAGGCUACGAUCCUUAGCUGGUCUGAGAGGAUGAUCAGCCACACUGGGACUGAGACACGGCCCAGACUCCUACGGGAGGCAGCAGUGGGGAAUAUUGGACAAUGGGCGAAAGCCUGAAGCAGCGACGCCGCGUGCGGGAUGAAGGCCCUCGGGUUGUAAACCGCUUUCAGCAGGGACGAAAUUGACGGUACCUGCAGAAGAAGGCCCGGCCAACUACGCGCCAGCAGCCGC